rnacentral:rRNA from 1 species
CCGGCCUGAGAGGGCGACCGGCCACACUGGGACUGAGACACGGCCCAGACUCCUACGGGAGGCAGCAGUGGGGAAUAUUGCACAAUGGGCGGAAGCCUGAUGCAGCGACGCCGCGUGAGGGAUGACGGCCUUCGGGUUGUAAACCUCUUUCAGCAGGGACGAAGCGAGAGUGACGGUACCUGCAGAAGAAGCACCGGCCAACUACGUGCCAGCAGCCGCGGUAAGACGUAGGGUGCGAGCGUUGUCCGGAUUUAUUGGGCGUAAAGAGCUCGUAGGCGGCUUGUCGCGUCGACCGUGAAAACUUGGGGCUCAACCCCAAGCCUGCGGUCGAUACGGGCAGGCUAGAGUUCGGUAGGGGAGACUGGAAUUCCUGGUGUAGCGGUGAAAUGCGCAGAUAUCAGGAGGAACACCGGUGGCGAAGGCGGGUCUCUGGGCCGAUACUGACGCUGAGGAGCGAAAGCGUGGGGAGCGAACAGGAUUAGAUACCCUGGUAGUCCACGCUGUAAACGUUGGGCGCUAGGUGUGGGGGACCUCUCCGGUUUCCUGUGCCGCAGCUAACGCAUUAAGCGCCCCGCCUGGGGAGUACGG